AACAUAGAUGAAGAACUUGUCUCAUACAUCCUAGCGGGACUGGAUGAAGAGUACAUCCUGGUGGUAUCUGCUCUGGUAGGACGUGUUGAGUCGGUCACCGUGGCUGAAGCCACCUCCCAGCUUCUCAGCUUCAACG
rfam:Zea mays cultivar B73 chromosome 3, whole genome shotgun sequence.